rnacentral:rRNA from 1 species
UGGCGGACGGGUGAGUAACGCGUGGGUAACCUGCCCUAUACAGGGGGAUAACAACCAGAAAUGGUUGCUAAUACCGCAUAAGCGCACAGGACCGCAUGGUCCGGUGUGAAAAACUCCGGUGGUAUAGGAUGGACCCGCGUUGGAUUAGCCAGUUGGCAGGGUAACGGCCUACCAAAGCGACGAUCCAUAGCCGGCCUGAGAGGGUGAACGGCCACAUUGGGACUGAGACACGGCCCAG